GCCCGACGAGCGGGGCGGGGGGUGGGGGGGGGCUGGAUGGGUAGAGAACAAAGGCUUUAAGAACCUGUUUAAGAGCAGAACGCGUCUAGGCGUUGGGGUUCACUUUUUUGUCCCCCAGCAGGGUUUUCACCCAACUUGGAUCUGGGACCGCCCCCCUCAAAACCAAAGUGCUCACUGGAGGCAAAGUUCGCCUCCGGCUUGGACGGCAAGAAGAAUGCUGCAGCCUCCUCUCCACUUUUCUCUGCUCGCCAAAGGCGUACUUUUAUCCCCCCAAAAGCCCCCAUGCCGAAACUCCCGCUGGCCUCCGCAGCGUCCCGCGGACCGCACCUCUAUCAGCGAUGGAAACAGCCGAAGGCCGCUCUUCCUGAAGGUCUAUUGACCGCUCACCCUCCUCCUGCCGCCUUGGCGCCCUGCCCGCGACGGCGGGAAACCGGGACAUAGACCUGGCCCGGAGCGGAGACUGCACACCUAGCAUGGAGCCCAACGUGGAGCUUAAAGUCACAACCCUGAGAUCAAGACCUGAGCUGAGAUCAAGAGUUAGAUGAUCGAGGCACCCCAAAUGCUGAAGAGAGUACCCUGGAUGAGAAACACAUAUACCCCAAUAACUGGAAAAGUAUAUCCUCCUUCUUCAAGUUGCGCUGAGGAUAAAAUUCAAACCCCACCAAGAUCGCACAGACCUUAUGAUCUGGCCACUACUGAUUUCUCCAAGCUCAACUCCCAAUACUGCCCCCCUUCACUGUAAGUUGUAGUCACACUGGUUCCUUUCCAUUUCUGAAACACUCCAAAAUUUUCCCUGCCUACAGCCUUUGCCCUUCUAGUUUACCUGAGAGCAAUGCUUUUCCUCAGAUCCCCCUAUGGCUGGUUACUUCUUACCAAUCCUGUCUCAGCUAAAUGUCACCUCCCCACACAGGCUUUCUGUGAUCUCUGUGCCUACCAUUGCAACCCUUCCCCUUUUAUGCCCCCCCACCACCACCACGGUCCCUAGCUAUCCCUUAGCCAGUCUUAUCACUAUAUAAUCUCUUGUUUACUUUUUUAUUAUCUGAUUCCCAAACUGGAAUAAAAGUCCAACAUAGCUACAGCCCCAGCAAUGACCACAGAGUUAAUACUCAAUAAAUACUUGUGAAAUCAAGUGAAUGGGAUGGGGCGAGAAAUGACAUAUGAGCUGCUCUGCACUAGAGAGAAGAGAUACAAAUAGGGAGUGCGAUCUGAGAUAAAUGGAACCUUCCCUUGUGCCCACAAUGUAACUUCCAGAAAGCACCAUUAAAGUACCAGUCAGUGCAUAUAUUUUUGGUUUUGUGUGUCCCUUUACCCCAACUCCAGUGUAGACCACGAACAACUUGAAAACAAGAACCAUCUUGUUCUUGUUGGCAUCCCCACUGUCCCAAUAAAUAUUCACCGGAUCCCUCAAUUCCCUGCUGAGGGAAAUCGGCAGUUCAGAGAAAAAAAUAGAGAUUUCCUGUUAGAUGAGCUUUACUUCAUUGGCUGGGUAAGCGCCUGCCAGAAUGAGCAGUUUCUAUAAGAAAACAAAAAGAUACACCGUAUGGUAGUGGCAGCACCAAAAGAUAGCCUUAGGUGAAUCCUUUAGCCCUCCAUCUGUAGUCUCCAUCAGCACCCUCCAAGUAACCUCCAAAAAGACUUCAGGCAAUCCCCCAGCCAGAUGGCCGGCGUGAGCUCUUCCUGCCUAGAAAUGCUACCACCAUGUCUGUCCAUGGAAAUCAGACAGAAACAGCGACUACUUGACAAAAGUCCAGAAACAGACUUAUAAAAACAGCCUAGCUGAAAGUAAGGGUGCACAAAGGAAGCACCAGUAAAGACCAGCAUUCAACAAGGAGUGACUGGAAAGAACUGUUUCAUGUUUUAAACACUGCCAAGCUGAGUAACAUGAGACCGAACUUGUUAUUUUGCUUGACUAUAUAUAGUUUGCAUCCUGGAAUUCACUCAUACUAUAUAUAGUAGAGUUUUAUUCAUGCACUCCAACUGAUUAUGUGUGCUGGGCUGAAGUGUUACAGUGGUGCCAGAAAUGAAGAGAAAAUGGAAAUCUUCCACAGACCUAUGGGCAUGUUCUUCACGCCCACUGCCAUUUUCACUAAUGCGUGGCGGCGGCAGAAAGCUAAUUGAGACCAGCCAUGGAAUAACAGGCUAGAACCUCUGCUGCAACGAAUGCCUCUUUUCAGUCUUUUCCUUGUGGAGUAUUUAUUUAUUUAAGAACUGGCUAUGGUCAUCAUUCAGAAAUACAAAGAGGGUUUAAAGGCCCAAAUAAUUACCCAGCUUUUAUAACAAAAGAAUAACACAAAAAUAGUUUCUUGUCCUGUCUCACUCAAGAAAGCCAGUUCUAUUAAACUGCUCAUCAUUAGCUGUUUCAUAAAUCUCAGUCUUUGGGAUUUAAGUAAUUUUUAUUUAACUGCUGCUCUUUCUUGAUUAAAAUAGCAAUUGUUCUGACUUGCUUCCUAAAGUAAAAUGUUCUCUGAAUAGCCUGUUUUAGGCUGAGAAACUCAUUUUAAUUUCGGAGUCUCAGGUCUCUUUUAAAAAGCUACUUUUGGUCAUCUCCUUAAAACUGGAGAUGUCUGGUAAAGUUCCUAAAGGGUCUUUACUGAGAGGGUAGUGUGGUAGACAUAUUUAGUGUUUUUACUGCCCAGCAUCUAUCAUCCCUUAUUGACAAUAUACCCCAGUUUCCCUUUGGGGUAUUAUUUCUCUCCUUUCUACCAACACACUUCCCAUGAAGCACACUUCACUCCUGUGCCCACAGCACAGCCAAUGGUAGCAUGCUAUCUCUUUGAUUACAGGGAUGGAUUGGGAGUUGAGCACAUGGUUCAAAAUAGGCCAAUCAAAACCCAUAAGACUCGGGCAGCUGGGUGGCUGAGUCAGUUAAACAUCUGACUCUUGAUUUCAGCUCAGGUCAUGAUCUCAUGGUUCAUGAGUUCAAGCCCCACAUCAGGCUCCAUGCUGACAGUAUGGAGUCUGCUUGGGAUUCCCUCUCUCUCUCUCUCUCUCUCUAUCUCUCUCUCGGCCCCUCCCCCACUCUCUCACUCCUCAAAAUAAAUAAAUAAACUUAAAACCCAUAAGACUCAAUUCUGGGACUUUUACUGGAGCUCUUUGAGGAAAAGGUGGUGUUUUUUCUGUAAUUGGUUGUGGUGGUCUUGAUUGCCCAUAGCUGCCAUAGACCACUGGCAACUAUAGAACAGAACUAACUCAGGAAGUAGAGCUGAGGAUCCCGAUCCCGAUCUUCCAAGUAUUUUUUAUUUCAACUUAAUUUUGUUUUUCAUGAUUCCAAACUAAAAGGUAUACACAAAUAGAUUCUACUCUUUCUCUUGCCCCACUCCAGCUCUUUUCCUUAAUGGGUAAUAAUUUUUAUUGUUUUUGGUUUAUUCUUCCAGUGUUUCUUCAUGCAAAUAAAAUAAAAUAUGAAUAUAUUUUUUACUUCCCCCUUUUUGUUCUGCAUGCAUUUUAUUUCUUCAAUAUAUGUUCAUUCAAGGAAUACCCUUCUUUGAAAUUCUAUGGUGCCUUUGAUUAUUCCUGGUUGCUUUCCACAUAAUAUUUGAAAUGGCUCAGAGCCUUAUUUAGCAUAUCCUACCACUUCUCUGCUUUGUUACCCUGGAGACAUCAUGAUUUAAUACUGGAGAAUCCUAUUUCACCAGAAUUAGAGAAUUCAAAUUGAGGAGCUAAAAUGAGGGUCCAAUGCCAAACUAAAAAAAAGACUUUCUAGAAAGUCUAAUCUGAAUACUACCAAACAGAGACUAUUUCAGGCAGUGGGGGAAAAAUAGAAGGGGAUGCCAAGAAGCCUAAUUUUUUAGACCAAAAACAGAGAUUGGCAGUGACAGGUACCUGAGCAGAUAACCCAGAAAGAAGAGUAUACAUUGCUACCAAAUGAUCCAUUAUUUUGAAUAGAUGUCAAAUUCAGUUCUUUUGGUUGGUC